rnacentral:rRNA from 1 species
CAGCCGCCGCGGUAAUACGUAGGUGGCAAGCGUUGUCCGGAAUUAUUGGGCGUAAAGGGCUCGCAGGCGGUUUCUUAAGUCUGAUGUGAAAGCCCCCGGCUCAACCGGGGAGGGUCAUUGGAAACUGGGAAACUUGAGUGCAGAAGAGGAGAGUGGAAUUCCACGUGUAGCGGUGAAAUGCGUAGAGAUGUGGAGGAACACCAGUGGCGGAGGCGACUCUCUGGUCUGUAACUGACGCUGAGGAGCGAAAGCGUGGGGAGCGAACAGGAUUAGAUACCCGGGUAGUCCCUGUCUCUUAUAC